rnacentral:rRNA from 1 species
GAUGAACGCUGACGGCGUGCCUAAUACAUGCAAGUCGAGCGAACGGACGAGAAGCUUGCUUCUCUGAUGUUAGCGGCGGACGGGUGAGUAACACGUGGAUAACCUACCUAUAAGACUGGGAUAACUUCGGGAAACCGGAGCUAAUACCGGAUAAUAUUUUGAACCGCAUGGUUCAAAAGUGAAAGACGGUCUUGCUGUCACUUAUAGAUGGAUCCGCGCUGCAUUAGCUAGUUGGUAAGGUAACGGCUUACCAAGGCAACGAUGCAUAGCCGACCUGAGAGGGUGAUCGGCCACACUGGAACUGAGACACGGUCCAGACUACUGCGGGAGGCAGCAGUAGGGAAUCUGCCGCAAUGGGCGAAAGCCUGACGGAGCAACGCCGCGUGAGUGAUGAAGGUCUUCGGAUCGUAAAACUCUGUUAUUAGGGAAGAACAUAUGUGUAAGUAACUGUGCACAUCUUGACGGUACCUAAUCAGAAAGCCACGGCUAACUACGUG